UAUUAUACAAUAAACAAUACACAAGAUCCAGCGCACUCUCCCAUCUACUAAACAUAUAAUGUAACUAAAUCCCCAUUAUUUUUUGCCUAGAUUGCCUAAAUUUUUUUUAAUAAAAUUGACGUUGCUGUUUAGUAGAUGGGAGAGUGCGCUGGAUCUUGUGUAUUGUUAAUGGAAAUC